CUCCCACAUCUCCACUUGCUUCACCGCGUUAGCCCUCUUCUCGAGCACCUGGUGGAGCUCCUCUGGAGUGAAAGGUGGAGGCAGAGUGCAGGGCUCCGCAUCGUGAGUCCACUUCUCCAUUGAUUCCAACAGGAAGCUCUUGGUCUUCUCCGAGGCAGAGCAAGCCAAUGACUCCAUGCAGAUCUCGGUGAACCCUUCCGGCACCGUGGGCUUGUACUUCAGAAGCUUGGCGUACUCUGUCAGUGCGUGUAACAUGUAGUCGUAGACGUGAUCCAUCUUCACUUCCUGUUGGAAGAAGCCGCUGCUCGCCUUCCCGAUCGCCUGUGCCUGUUAGAGUUUUAAGAGAUGUGUCGUGAACUGCGUCGCCGUAGGUUGAAUCUUAGUGCGUAGCUAAAAUGCUGACCUCCUCUUGGUGAGCGUUGCCCCAGUCGACGGCGAACUUGAUGCCUCUGCACUUGUUGUCGGCUGCUAUGGGCCAGUAAUGGUGGCCGGGCAUGAGACCUCGUUGGAAGAACUCGACGAAGCGCGUGUCGACGAACAACGUCGGCGAGUUGCACGCCAAGAUGUACUUCUGGCUCACCGACCACGCGAGUCCCUCCACGUAAAUCCUAUACCUGCUCAUCAAACCUUUUCCCCAUGUCAAUCUACGUGCAUGCAUCGCUGCAGACAGGAGACGGAAGCAGACUUGCCUGUGAUAGCAUUGCCUGGCCAGGUUUGAGCGGUUAUACCCCUGCUUGGCCUCGCUGUUCCAAUCCUGUGGAAAGGGGAAGGUAAGAGUUCAUCCGAGGGAUUCUGGUUCUCAUGUUAUAGGGAAAUUGAAGAUAUACCUGGGCGUAGAUCCGAGCAUUCCAGUCUCGUUCUUUGGUGACAUUGCACUUCACAAGGUCUUGCCUGCUGCCGCCCAUGAAUGGACUGCCCUUCCAGUACGCAUAUGGCUCUCUCUCCGCCCAUUCCACCUCUGCGUUCCCUUCGUUCAUCUCCUUCAUCAGUGGCACCCAUGGCUUUAUAUUUGUCUCAGGCCUUCCAAAAGAUCAACGCAUUCGAUCAGCUCAAAGCUUACAGAAACGAAGAAAACAGGGACUCAGAUUACCAGCCCCAGAAGGACCAGUCGGGGAAGAGAAUAUCCAGGGUUCGAUCGUCCUUGCAGUAAUGGAACAGCGGCGGAGGCGGUGCCGAUGAGUUGUAGUCGGCGGACUUCACAGACGGCAUGUCCAUGCAGUUGAAUAUGAGCUCGAAGUCAGGGACGCGGCCGGGGUACCGGCUGAUGAGCUGCAGGAUACCCCAGAAGGUGAAGACGUUCCUCGACAGGGAGUGGCCGAAGUACUCCUGGACGUAGACCCGGCCGUCGAGCACCACCAUGUGAAAGGUAGCGAACUUGCGCGCGCGCUGGACCAUCUCCUUCGUGAUGCCGGUGGACUUCCAUGGUCGCAGGUCCUCGUGAAUCCACCGGAAGUAUUCGGGGCAGGUGGGGGACGGUUGGUUGGCGGUGAGGUGCAGGGGAGUAGGCGCCGCCGCGUUGGGAGAUCGUUGGCAGACGGCCGACGCUCCUGUAAUGUUUGGGCAGCUCAAGGUGAUGAGUUUUGGUUGAGGUUUCGAUUGAGCUUUCGAGAUUUGUGUGUUGAGAGACUGUCGAUCUAUUCCUUGCUCGCUCCAACCGAAGG
rnacentral:lncRNA from 1 species